rnacentral:rRNA from 1 species
CCUACGGGAGGCAGCAGUGAGGAAUAUUGGUCAAUGGGCGGAAGCCUUAACCAGCCAAGUAGCGUGCAGGAUGACGGCCCUACGGGUUGUCAACUGCUUUUAUACGGGAAUAACGCGCCUUCCGUGUAGGGCUUUGCAUGUACCGUAUGAAUCAGGACCGGCUAAUUCAGUGCCAGCAGCCGCGGUAAUACGGACGGUCCGGGCGUUAUCCGGGUUUCUUGGGCUUAAAGGUAGCGUAGGCCGCAUGUCAAGCGUGCUGUGAAAUGUCCGGGCUCAACCCGGGCCGUGCAGCGCGAACUGGCGUGCUUGAGUCCGCGGAAAGCAGGCGGAAGUCGUCGUGUAGCGGUGAAAUGCUUAGAUAUGACGAAGAACCCCGAUUGCGAAGGCAGCUUGCUGCAGCGGAACUGACGCUGAUGCUCGAAAGCGCGGGUAUCGAACAGGAUUAGAUACCCUAGUAGUC